GGGGCAUAAUUUAUUAUUUGAAAGUCCUUGAGCUAAGUCUUACCUUUAAGGCAAGAGUUGUAGAGCAUCCCAUAAAUGAAGACAUAUCGUGGUAGUGUCAACUCUUGCCCGUGAGGCAUAAUUUGUAGUUUGAAAGUCCUUGAGCUAAGUCUUGCCUCUAAGACAAUAGUUGUAGAACAUCUCAUAAAUGAAAACAUAAAGUGGU
rnacentral:lncRNA from 1 species